rnacentral:lncRNA from 1 species
AUGUUUACAACAAUUUAUAAAAUAAUUCUUGUUUUAUUUUUUGUAUGGGCAUGGACCAAUAAUAGUAAAGAUCACUUAGAAAAUAUAUUUAGCACACAGUAUGGUAGAUCACUGGCUGAACCUGAUAUUUUACAUAACGAGGAGAAUGCUCAAUCUAAUGUAGUAGAUUAUAACCAAAGUUCUGAAUAUAUUAAAAAUGAAGAAAAUUCUACAAAUAAAAGCGAUGAAGAAACCUUGCAAAUUGAUAAAUAUAACGAUAAAAAUUCAAUGUAUUUAUCCAAUAUGAAGCAAGAAUUAAUUAAAUUAUUAUCGGACCAAAAUGAUUCCAAAAUAACAAAUAUAUUGCAAAAUAAUUCAAACAUACAAAAAACAGAUUUACUACAUAUAUAUGAUCUUAUUAAACAUUUUAUUUCUGGUGAGAAAUAUUUACAAAUUAUAAAUAAAAGUUGUGAAUUAGCAACUAAAAAACAAUUUAAUCGUAAUACAAAUGCUGAAAAAUAUUACAACUCACUAUUAUACUUAUUGAAUACAUAUUUCUAUCUUGCUGAGAAUGAAAUAAAUUUUAAAAGACUGUCUAUGAAAUUACGUAAUGAUGGUUAUGAACGACCCAAAUUUAAAUCAAGUAAUUAUUUUAAUAUAUCUAAACUUUACAAAAGAAUAAAUAAACAAUUUAAAAUUAUGUUACUUAAACAAAUGAUAAAACAGGAAUUAGAUCCAACUGUUCAAUUGACUUAUAAAAAACGUUUUGAGCUACUUAGUUAUGGAUUUUUUUACCCACUAUCACUAUUCGUAAUUUCAAUUUUUACCUUACCAGUCUGGUCAAUUGGUCUUACGUUUACACUAAUAGGGAUGCUUCUUUACAUAUGUGUACAUUCUAAUUAUAAAAUAAUCAGAGAUGUACAUUUUGUAAAGCAAAUUAUGAAAAAAUCAAAACUAUUAGAUCAAAAAUAUUUGAAUUAAUUUGUACCUCAAAUUAUAACACAAAAAAAUAGUUACAAAAAAAACAAACAUUAUUGUUUUUCAUUUGAAUAUGUUGUUUUUUUUAUAUUUAUUUAUUCAUUUAUUUAUUUAUCUUUUUUUUUUUUUAUGUCCC